rnacentral:tRNA from 1 species
GAGAAAAUAGUUAAGUAUAAUAUUGGUUUGUCAGCCCAAAGUUAGCAGUUAUUGCUUUUUUUCA